AUGGCUACAGGGAGAACUGAGGGCUGCCACCUACCUGUGCUGCUGCGGAACCAGGACAACAAAGAUGCGUGAUCCCUAGCCGAGAUCCUGAGUGUGAAGGACGUCAGGGGCCGGAAGCUUUUUAUCUCCUCCAUGUUGACUUCGACAAACGCCUCACGAAGGGGUGACUCACAAGCAGCUGAACCUAAAGAUCCAGUUCCCCAAGAAAGAAGCCAAGACUCCCACCAAGAACAGACUGUCUGGCUCCCUCCCCGCCUUUCCAGAGAGAGAGAGGUGAAAGGGAAGGCGGAGGUGGUUUCAGGGGCACGCUUGGGCCUCGGGGGGGACAGCCGAGAGCGGCCCAGCGGCGCUUUCUCCUCACAAUGGAUCCGUCUGUGGGGCAGGGGCAGCUCGGCCAGAAACAGAAGCGAAAAUCAAACCACCUGGGCCCUGAUGAGGACUCCCAGGACGGCUCCAAUGGAAUACCAUCUGCACCAAGCGUGACUGACAGCCUGGUGUCUAACCGGACGCGCGGCAUCGUCACCCAGAUGAAGAACAUUGAGUGCAUCGAGCUGGGCCGCCACCGCCUCCAGCCGUGGUACUUCUCCCCGUACCCACAGGAACUCACCACCUUGCCAGUUCUCUACCUGUGCGAGUUCUGCCUCAAGUACACCCGUAGCCUCAAGUGUCUUCAGCGUCACUUGACUAAGUGCCACCUGCGACAUCCCCCAGGCAAGGAGAUUUACCGCAAAGAUACCAUCUCCGUUUUUGAGAUUGACGGACGGAAGAAUAAGAGUUACUCUGAGAAUUUGUGCCUUUUGGCCAAGUGUUUCAUCCAACACAAGACCUUAUACUAUAACACAGACCCUUUCCUCUUCUAUGUUAUGACGGAGUAUGACUGCAAAGGCUUCCACAUUGUGGGCUACUUUUCCAAGGAGAAGGAAUCAGCACAAGGCUAUAACGUGGCCUGCAUCCUAACCCUGCCUCCCUAUCAGAACCGGGGCUAUGGCAAGCUGCUGAUUGAGUUCAGCUAUGAACUCUCCAAAGUAGAAGGGAAAACAGGGACUCCUGAGAAACCUCUCUCAGAACUUGGCCUCCUAUCCUAUCAAAGCUACUGGUCCCAGACCAUCGUGGACAUCCUGAUGGGGGUGAAGUCGGAGAGCGGCGAGAGGCCACAGAUUACCAUCAACGAGAUCAGUAAAAUCACCAGCAUCAAGAAGGAGGAUGUCAUCUCAACCCUGCAGUACCUCAACGUCAUCAACUACUACAAGGGCCAGUAUAUCCUGACACUGUCCAAAGACAUCGUGGACAAGCAUCAGCGGGCCAAGCUCAAGCGGCUCCUUCAGAUCGACUCGGAAUGUCUGCACUUCACUCCCAAGAACUGGAGUAAGAGGGGAAAGUAGUGACUAGGCACUGCCCACUGCAGUGA